GAAAGAUAUGGCUGUAGAUGGGUAGGAGAGGAGAGGGAUAGAUAUGGCUGUAGAUGGGUAGGGGAGGAGAGGGAUAGAUAUGGCUGUAGAUGGGUAGGAGAGGGAUAGAUAUGGCUGUAGAUGGGUAGGGGAGGAGAGGGAUAGAUAUGGCUGUAGAUGGGUAGGAGAGGAGAGGGAUAGAUAUGGCUGUAGAUGGGUAGGGGAGGAGAGGGAUAGAUAUGGCUGUAGAUGGGUAGGAGAGGGAUAGAUAUGGCUGUAGAUGGGUAGGAGAGGAGAGGGAUAGAUAUGGCUGUAGAUGGGUAGGAGAGGAGAGGGAUAGAUAUGGCUGUAGAUGGGUAGGAGAGGGAUAGAUAUGGCUGUAGAUGGUUAGGAGAGGGAUAGAUAUGGCUGUAGAUGGGUAGGGGAGGAGAGGGAUAGAUAUGGCUGUAGAUGGGUAGGGGAGGACAGGGAUAGAUAUGGCUGUAGAUGGGUAGGAGAGGGAUAGAUAUGGCUGUAGAUGGGUAGGAGAGGGAUAGAUAUGGCUGUAGAUGGGUAGGAGAGGGAUAGAUAUGGCUGUAGAUGGGUAGGGUAGGAGAGGGAUAGAUAUGGCUGUAGAUGGGUAAGGGAGGAGAGGGAUAGAUGUGGCUGUAGAUGGGUAGGAGAGGGAUAGAUAUGGCUGUAGAUGGGUAGGAGAGGGAUAGAUAUGGCUGUAGAUGGGUAGGGUAGGAGAGGGAUAGAUAUGGCUGUAGAUGGGUAGGGGGGAGAGGGAUAGAUAUGGCUGUAGAUGGGUAGGAGAGGGAUAGAUAUGGCUGUAGAUGGGUAGGAGAGGAGAGGGAUAGAUAUGGCUGUAGAUGGGUAGGAGAGGGAUAGAUAUGGCUGUAGAUGGGUAGGGGAG
rnacentral:lncRNA from 1 species